rfam:Cavia porcellus supercont2_103 genomic scaffold, whole genome shotgun sequence.
ACAAAAGGAAACAUUCCUUUGAAUGCGCCUGAUCUCAUCUGAUCUUAGAAGCUAAGCAGGGUUGGGCCUGGUUAGUACUUGGCUGGGAGACUGCCUGGGAAUACCGGGUGCUGUAGGCU